CCGGGAGCCCUCCCGGUGUCCCCACAGCAUACCCGGGGCAGUCCUUCCCGCUGCGCCCGGCGGGCCGCUGGAAAACGCAGUCCCGUCCCGUCCCGUCCCGUCCCGUCCCGUCCCGUCCCGUCCCCGCCGCGAACAGCCCGGGAAUUGCGGCUGAGGCCGCUGGCGAGGUGUUGGGGCGGACACGGCGCAGGGCAAGUCUCUGGUGGGGCUCCUUCACAGCACAAGUGCGAGGAGCGGCAGAAAUAGGUCCGAGAUUCAGCCUCUGGAGGAUAAACUUGGCUCUGCGGCUCCUUCUGAGGGAGGUUGUUGUCGCAUGUGUAGGAGAUGUACAAACAGAUUGCUGCAGUUACCCAAUUAAGAUUUCUGGCAGCCUUUGACAGCACAAAGGGAUGUCAAGUGUGGCUGAUCCACUGCUGUGCAGAUGCUGCCGAGCAAAAGUUGUGAGAGAGCUCGACCAGAGAGCGAAGCAAAUCCGAGUGGGACGAAACCUGAGCAAAUGAGAAUCCUGCUCCCCUGGCAAAGAGAGAUCACCUUAUAUGGGAACAUCACGAGCAAGAGGAUGAACAGUCCGGCCGGGCUGCUGAGACUCUGAGCCUGGGAUUUACAGGUCCGACUUUGAGAGCUCUGCAUCUUUCAAGCCCCACCUUCUGUGUGUACAGUGUCAGUGGUGGCCUCACACCUCUCCCUGCCCCCUGGACCAGAUGCACACUGUUGGCUUGGAAAACAGCUGCAGCUUUGUGUGGCUCUGUGCAGCAGGAGAGGCACAGCCAAGACAGUUGUAUAGCCAUUGCUCACAGACUCUGUCAGGAGAGGAUGAAGUUAACAGCUCAGUAAGUACCAAUGUGAAGGAAGUGGCUCACAAAAGAAACAAGAUCUGGCAUAGAGCAGAAUACACUGUACCAAUGCAGGCAAGU